CUGUAACGAUGUAAAAACUUUAAAUCAUUACAAGCCAAAGAGAGCGAUCAUUUCUGAAGAUCAAAUCUGAAGAGAACAGCACGAAAAACUUCAGUGGCUCACAAAUUUACAACUUUUGACGGCUUCAUAGAAAAUAAAACCUCACCAGACGAUUAAGGACUCCGAGAAACACCUCUAACCAACACCUGAACAAAGAGGACAACAUCUACGACAUGGAGACCGUAAGAUUUCAUGUAAAUAUUAGCAUACAAACUUGUGUUACUGUCGACACUUUCGUGAUGGUUAUAAGCGAUGCAUCGACAAGGAUUAAAUGUGUGCAUAGAUAUUUACAGUGUUUAUGACUUUAAUGUGACAGGCAUUAUCAAAACUAGAAAAAUUGCAUUUCCUUGCAGAAAAUGCGUGGAAAUGCUAAGUGCUGAAAGCUGAAAAAGCAAUGCUAAACUGCUAAAAAAAAUGGAGGAAGGUUUAAAUGUGAACUUGGUUAAAGAGCUACAGAAAGAAAAGUAGAAGUUGGAUGAAAGUGAAAAUUGCUGAAGUACAAAUAGUAUGAAUGUGCUUCAUAAAUUAAAAUUGUAUUCAUGCAGAAUAAGGCUAGAAAAACUGUCUGAAAUUGCAAAAAAAAUUGGAUAAGGAAGAAAAUUACCUUAAGACACAGAAAAGUAAGAAGCGGCAUAAGUUUAAGUUGAAGUACUAGAAGACGUAUGAUAAUAGGUAGUUGUACUAGUGAUAUUAGUAGUCAUGUAAGCAGUAGAAGUAGUUUUAGAAUAGAAGAAGUAGAAGUCAAAGCAGUAGAGCUCGUGGUAGAAGAGUAGAAGUAAAAAAAAUAUUAAGAGACGCAAGAGCAGUUGAGGUAGAAGUGAAGAUAUAAGUUAAAGUGAUAUAAGUAGUAAUUGUAGUGGUAGAACUGGGAUUGGUCAACUGUAAAAUAUGAUUCAGUACAAGUAGAUUACUAGCCCCACACACUUGUAGCUCUUUGCUGUUCAUUGUUAUUUACAGUUUGUUUUUGUCUCACUGCAGCACUGACGAGGUUUCUCAGAGAAGAGUGCCAC